UACAGAGGGUGCGAGCGUUAAUCGGAAUUACUGGGCGUAAAGCGUGCGUAGACGGCUAUCUAAGUCGGGUGUGAAAGCCCCGGGCUCAACCUGGGAAUUGCAUUCGAGACUGAAUAGCUAGGGUACGGUAGAGGGGGAUGGAAUUCCGCGUGUAGCAGUGAAAUGCGUAGAUAUGCGGAGGAACACCGAUGGCGAAGGCAAUCCCCUGGACCUGUACUGACGCUCAUGCACGAAAGCGUGGGGAGCAACAGG
rnacentral:rRNA from 1 species